ensembl:lncRNA
UUUUUUUUUUUUUUUUUUUUUUUUUUUUUUAAUAAGUAAACGCCCCAAUCUCCCAAUCUCAGUCACUUCAUUGACAUUUUGUGCUCUGGAAACAUUGGCAAAUGAAGAUCUUAGAUGUGCCUUGUUCUAUAGGUUGAGACAGCUCUAGCCUAAACACUGCUCAUCUACUGCUGUCAUUCAAAGUAAUGGUAAAAAAAAUAAACCAGGCUAAAAUGUCCAUUUUGCCAACAUUUUACACACCUCAGUUCAACAUAAAUGCAGUAAAAUUGUAAUAAAUAGUGCAAUAUUCCAAACUAGUAUGAGUUUGUCUAUCUUUAACCUCUUUGAAAUCCUUGCCUGACAAGUUAUUUGGGGAUGGCACUGAGAGGGCACACCCUUGGCACACUAACAUGCAUUUGACUUUCCUCUCCACAGCAGGGCAAAGUGAGAGUGCCUCUGUGGAUUUAGUGUGUUGUAACUGAAUUGGAGGGAAGUCUGUUCUGCUCAGUUAAGCUGCUGCAUCAGGAAGGCCUGAUGAGAACUGCUAUACUUGUCAAGCAGUCUGUUGAAGUCAAAGGAAUGAAAAGAAAUUUGCAUGGGAAUCGAGGGAGAUUUCAUUUCCUAGAAACUCCAGAAUAGUGUGUAAGUACUUGUGGGCCCAUGGCAGGGGCUCACAUCAUGAGGGACUGUGCUUCUGCCUGUGACCCAUGAGAUGAAGGCAACCAAGGUCACACAGCAAGGUUGGCUACAGCUCCCUUUGCUCAGUGGUAUCUGUGGGACAACACCUGGAGUCAUGGCUCUCUACUUCUGCACCCUGUGCCUGGCUCUGCACCUCAUGAUGCUUUGUUUGCCCUGCAGAGCAGCACACCUGGGGAACCCGGUGGAGACAUGCUGACCAGGACCAAAUUUAUGCCCCACAUCCUUUCCACACUCCACACAAUGGGGCCAGGGAGCAGGAGUGUCACUGUACACCACCCUUGGCUUUUUAUUAAUACUAAAUGAACAAUUUUCUUUGCAGUGAUUUCAGAUAAACUCCUCCAAGUGACAUUUCUGACCUUUUGCUUUGUGAUGCACAUCCCUUUAUAUACAUAAGCCAGCUUUGUGCCACUUGUUCUUUGACAGGUCGCCAGUGCCUUUGUUAUCCUUCAGAGAGGGAAGGAGGCACAAGAGCUCUCAGCAGCGCAGCACUGCCUGCCCAGAGGCAGCAGUCAGUACUCCUGCAGGAAGCUACUCCAGCAGCAUGCCUAAAUGCUGAUCCCAGCUGGAUACUGGUGUUAUAUUGAGUGAUUGGUGUGGGGGUUCUGGAGAGCCUUCGAUGCCCAGCGGGCACAGCAGGGGCAGGCUCCUUCUGGCACUGUGUGACACCGGGAGGGUCAGCCCUUGGGCACAGCAGGGUCUGCAGCCACCCUGCUCUGUGCAAAGUCAAUAUGCAGGGAGCUUAAUCCACCUCUAGAUGGGAUUAAAGACUUUAUUAACCCAUGGGAAAAAGCAGGGGAUUAAUUUCAUUGUAGCAGCACAGCAUGCCAUUUUGAAAAAGGAAAGUUAAUUCAAACCUAAUCCUGGUAUAGCUGAGCUGACGGAAAAGUGUAGGAGCCCAGCUGACACGCUUACACCUUGAAGGCAUGAAUUGGAUAGGCCUUGUAGAAGGGUGCAAUAGACUCUGAAGGCCAGCUGAGCCUUAAAAGCUUUCAUAUCUAUGCUUCGUUCUUCAGAGCCUUCACAAUUACAGACCUGCCCCUUUUGCAAAACACACAAAAUUACUAACACAUACAUGACAACAUUUGCAUGCAGAUCUCAGCAGAGAUCAUCUUUCCCUUUUCUUCUUCUGAUUUGCAUGUCUCUGAUUUCUUCAUUAGACACAUUGUUUUAAGUAACUGAAUAGAAUCAGUAAGUUAAUAGACUCAAGCUUGCUGUGUUUUUUUCAGUUAAUAUUUCUUAAAACUCUAGCUAGCCCCAAUUCUCUUUGUAUUGUCAAACUUGAUUAAAAGUAAUUGCAACAAAAAAUGGCAAUUACAUGAUAUAUUCAUGGUAUGCAUAAUUGUGUACUUAAUUCCUCAUAAAUAUCUAAUAACAUACUCAAUACAUCAAAUAUUAAUAAUGGUCUACAUACUUAACCCAUAUUUUUUAAACUAGCUUGUUCCCAGGGUCAUGUGAUACUCUGCUAGUGUCACAUGGGACAGGCUAGGAGGAAAUCAUACAUGAAGAUAAUUUUUCAAAGAGUGAAGAUGCAUUCCUCUCUCUGUACUUUAUUUUGUGUGCUUCUGUCUCAAAAAUACUGAAUGGAUAUAUUAAUGGAACUUGAACAGAGGUCUUUAAAGGGGCCAGGACAAAAAGCCUAGAGAUAGGUAUCUCCAGUGUCAAAAAGGUCUGAAUACAGUAGAACAAAUUAUUUGCUUCCAAUAUAUCAUGGAUUUGAAAUUCAAUUUUUAAUUUUAUUACAUUUGCCAAGGACUUACAGCCAGAAGUAAGGGAAAUGAGAGGUACAGGCAAAGGGUGAGAAUCUUACUUCUGGCCACUAGCAACCAAGUAUGUUGUGUUAGCCGCUGCUUCAGUAUCUCCUGCUGUUUAUUGGCCAUAUUAAGCCCUGUGUGUUUAAUACCUUCAUGUUUUUGCUGUUUUCUAUUAGAUUAAAGUAUAUGAAAAUAAAUAAAACUCUGUUUCAGUCUGUGGUGAUAGGGGAUAAAAUUAGAUCACGAAGGAAGUUUAGAGACAUUGAAAGGGUAGAAACCAAACUGUCCAGCAGAAAGUGAGGAUGUGAUUUAGAAGUUGCAGCAUGUGAGAGAUCUGGGGACCUCAGGCUAAAUCUGAAUCCUGAGUGGAGAUCAUUAACACAAUUGUCAAGGUGAAGGUGCAGGAGUGGAAGAUAUGUAGAAGCAGACAGUUUUCUGACUGCUUGUCAAGACACUUUCGAAACUUUGCUCCUCUGUUUACUCCAGAGCAACACAGCUGGGGAAAAAAAGUGGCAGAAAAAAAAUGCCCCUGUGAUGCCUAAAAAAACUAUAGAGAUGGAGUUUAUUGUAGGUCUGCAUGCAAGUCCUCUGCUCUUUGAAAUAAUUUGGUCUCAUUUGUCCGGCUUGCAACACCUUUCCAGCCAUCAUAAGGUCUCAUCUGGCAAUUUUUCUUCUGCCAGUGACAGCUCACAUCUUCAUCACUCCCUGCAGAAGGAAGGAGUUUCUAUAAAAUUCAUAAACUAUUCACAUGGAUUCUCUUUCAUAUUACUCAAGCUUGAUGCAGGCCUCUGAAGGCUGUUCUGAGAAUAAAAGCAGGUCACAGUCUUUAUCAGAGACAUACAUAAUCACAUUUCAGAGGCGUUUCUUCCAUUAUUUCAAAUGUUUACUCACGUGUACCAUUCAACAGUGAAGCAUUUCAUGCUGAAUUCUAGCACAGUUUACUACUAUCUUUAGCAUAAAAUGGAAGUGCUCUUUCUCUCCUCUAUACUUAAUUAUUUGUGCUAGCCCUUAACAUACCACCACCUGCAACUGGUUUCAAACACCCUUUAAGUAGAUUUCCUCAGGUGAUGAUGGCCAACAAGUUGAAGUGUAUUUACAGGAGUGCAGUAGGAGAAGAACAACCUCACUAUGUUGCUAGACAUGUGUGCUGAGGGUGUGUGCUUGACUGGAUUCCCUGUGCAAUGGAAAUGGGAAAAUACCUCACAGUCCUAGGGGAACAGAAAGACCAAAGCAUCUGAGUAAGCUUCACUGCUCUGAUUUAGUUUAGAAGUCAACUAAGACAGAGAAGGAGAACAAAGAGAAAAUCUAGAGCUGUUGUCACUGUCUUGGGAGAAUCAACAUAAUUCACAGGUCAAGAAAAACAAAUUUCCUUUGUAUUUUAAUUUGUAUACUAACAUGCCACAACAGAACCCUGUGCUCUAUGACAUUUCAGGAUUGAAAUACAGGAACAGUUUUUCCACUGAUACAAAACUAUACCAAAUAAUUUAUAUAAUUUGGUAAUCUGACUGGUAUCCUUAUUUUAUUUUUUUGGGGGGGAUCUGCUUCAAGUUUAAGUAAUAGAAAACAAAUAUGAUCCUGUAUGUUUCACUUUAACAUAAUAUGACAUACUCUUAGAUAAUUUAAUGACAAUAGAAGGUUUGAAUUGAUUUUCAGACAUCCUGGUUCCUUAGAAAGGAACUUAUGUAAAACAUGAAACAAAAGAAAGAAAACUAUGGGAAGCAAUUUCAUAUUUUGUAUUUAUGUGGAACAGGUGAGGAGCUCCCAGCUAUUUUCAACAUACAGCCCACCUCAGUAAAGGUUGUGCAAAACACAGCCAUAAAGUUACCAAGAGGGGUGAAAGCCCCUGGGCCACCAGCUGCAAUGUGAAGCUUUCCCAUCUGUCUACAGCCUUCCAAGUGCACAUUCCCUUGUCAGCCUUCUGCCACUCAAGGCAAAGGCUGGAAAAAACUGUCUGCUACCCAAGGAGAAGUAAACAGAAGCCCUCAGAAUGGCUACAGGAAUCGAUAUCUUCGGCAAAGGAUAGUCCCAAAUUCCUAGCUAGUCUGGAUGUAUGGAGAGAGCUUGUGUAAAUGAUGCUGAACUGUCCACAGGGCUCUGCUCAGGCUUGCUGAACUUGCAGAAAAACACUUUUCUGCUGGGCUGAUGGCAGAGAGCACUGUCAUGCAGUGCCCAGGAUCAUCCUGGCUAGAGCUGCUUGGGAGGAUGUCAUUGCUGAAACUGUGAAACCAAUGCAAAAGUGGUUUGUGGCUUCCUCAUGCUUAAUUAUCACUGGCAGCCAUCUGAACCUGGAGUGCUAACACAGCGAAUCCUGAAACAAAACCACUCCAGGAAGGGAUCAUGAAAGAACCAUCAGCUUCUUCCAUCUUCUCCUGUAUCCUUCUUACCCUGGCUGAUUUCAUGACUUGAGCUACAUUUACAUCUCUUUACAUUGACAUUUACAUUUAUCAAUUUAUGGAAGUGGGACAUGAGGAGGUGAAGGAAGUGGAACAAAGAAUCACCUUUUUUGUCCUAUGUCCAAGUCCUUGGCCAUAACCUACAAGGUUUGGCAGCAAUAGAGAAAAAACACACACAACCCAAAUCUGACAGCUGAAAAAAAAAAAAA